rnacentral:rRNA from 1 species
UACGUAGGGGGCAAGCGUUGUCCGGAUUUAUUGGGCGUAAAGAGCGUGUAGGCGGCCAUGUAGGUCCGUUGUGAAAACUCGAGGCUCAACCUCAAGACGCCGAUGGAAACCAUGUGGCUAGAGUCCGGAAGAGGAGAGUGGAAUUCCUGGUGUAGCGGUGAAAUGCGCAGAUAUCAGGAAGAACACCCGUGGCUAAGGCGGCUCUCUAGUACGGUACUGACGCUGAGACGCGAAAGCGUGGGGAGCGAACAGG